UCCCUAUUCCUACGGGAGGCAGCAGUAGGGAAUCUUCCGCAAUGGACGAAAGUCUGACGGAGCAACGCCGCGUGAGUGAUGAAGGUUUUCGGAUCGUAAAACUCUGUUGUCAGGGAAGAACAAGUACCGGAGUAACUGCCGGUACCUUGACGGUACCUGACCAGAAAGCCACGGCUAACUACGUGCCAGCAGCCGCGGUAAUACGUAGGUGGCAAGCGUUGUCCGGAAUUAUUGGGCGUAAAGCGCGCGCAGGCGGUUCCUUAAGUCUGAUGUGAAAGCCCCCGGCUCAACCGGGGAGGGUCAUUGGAAACUGGGGAACUUGAGUGCAGAAGAGAAGAGUGGAAUUCCACGUGUAGCGGUGAAAUGCGUAGAGAUGUGGAGGAACACCAGUGGCGAAGGCGACUCUUUGGUCUGUAACUGACGCUGAGGCGCGAAAGCGUGGGGAGCAAACAGGAUUAGAUACCCUGGUAGUCCACGCCGUAAACGAUGAGUGCUAAGUGUUAGAGGGUUUCCGCCCUUUAGUGCUGCAGCAAACGCAUUAAGCACUCCGCCUGGGGAGUACGGCCGCAAGGCUGAAACUCAAAGGAAUUGACGGGGGCCCGCACAAGCGGUGGAGCAUGUGGUUUAAUUUGAAGCAACGCGAAGAACCUUACCAGGUCUUGACAUCCCCUGACAACCCUAGAGAUAGGGCGUCCCCUUUC
rnacentral:rRNA from 2 species